CACUUAGAUGUUCGGGGCCGCACGCGCGCUACACUGAAGGAAUCAGCACGUCUUUCUCCUUGUCCGAAAGGACUGGGUAACCCGCUGAACCUCCUUCGUGCUAGGGAUUGGGGCUUGUAAUUCUUCCCCAUGAACGAGGAAUUCCCAGUAAGCGCGAGUCAUAAGCUCGCGUUGAUUACGUCCCUGCCCUUUGUACACACCGCCCGUCGCUACUACCGAUUGGAUGGUUUAGUGAGAUCCUCGGAUUGGUCCCGGCGCGGCCUCUGGUCGUGCCGGAGUGCCGAAAAGAAUGUCGAACUUGAUCAUCUAGAGGAAGUAAAAGUCGUAACA
rnacentral:rRNA from 1 species